AUGGGUGGGGCUGGAGGCAAGGAUCUAACAUGGUACGGUACUGUAGGGACCUCUUCUCUCUCAGGAAUUGAUUGCAAGAACAAGAGCCCAUUAUACAGCAGAGGAUGCAGCAAGCAGUUGAUGAAGUAAAGACUAAAUGAUCAGAAGACAAGCAGAAAGAAUUAAUGGAUGCCAGCAGACAAUUUAGGGAAGCACUGAAAGAAGCUAGUGAACAAUCAAACUCAAAAGAAUUAGAGAGAGAUGGAGGGAGCCUGGGAGAAGAAAAUUGAAAUUGUUCAAGUAUUUAUGAGUGUACAAUGUACAUGUCUUAUAAACUCUUAUUUCUUUUGAUUUCCGGCCCUUGCAUGUCUGUCUCCUCUCUCUCUCUCUCUCCCUUUCUCCUUUCCUCCCUUUCUCUUAUAGAAUUGUUAGAACUGUGGUUGGAAGCGGGCUUAGGAUAUACAGUGGCAAUGACAUGUGGUGGUUGUAGUAAAGCAAAAUAUUGUGGUACUCAUUGUUUUAAACGUCAUCACCUUCUAAUAAUAGGAGAAGGUGUGACUCUUAAUAACAGAUCAGAUCACAAUACACUCAAACAGAACCACACCCCUAAACCACACCACCAUCAUAUAUCAAUGGCCCAACCAUCAGCUGUCCACCGC